AGCGAACGCUGGCGGCAGGCCUAACACAUGCAAGUCGAACGAACCUUUCGGGGUUAGUGGCGGACGGGUGAGGAACACGUGGGAACGUGCCUUUAGGUUCGGAAUAACUCAGGGAAACUUGUGCUAAUACCGAAUGUGCCCUUCUGGGGAAAGAUUUAUCGCCUUUAGAGCGGCCCGCGUCUGAUUAGCUAGUUGGUUGAGGUAAUGGCUCACCAAGGCGACGAUCAGUAGCUGGUCUGAGAGGAUGAUCAGACACAUUGGGACUGAGACACGGCCCAAACUCCUACGGGAGGCAGCAGUGGGGAAUCUUGCGCAAUGGGCGAAAGCCUGACGCAGCCAUGCCGCGUGAAUGAUGAAGGUCUUAGGAUUGUAAAAUUCUUUCACCGGGGACGAUAAUGACGGUACCCGGAGAAGAAGCCCCGGCUAACUUCGUG
rnacentral:rRNA from 1 species